UCUACGGGUGGCAGCAGUGGGGAAUAUUGCACAAUGGGGGAAACCCUGAUGCAGCGACGCCGCGUGAGCGAUGAAGUAUUUCGGUAUGUAAAGCUCUAUCAGCAGGGAAGAAAAUGACGGUACCUGACUAAGAAGCCCCGGCUAACUACGUGCCAGCAGCCGCGGUAAUACGGAGGGGGCAAGCGUUAUCCGGAGUUACUGGGUGUAAAGGGAGCGUAGGCGGCUGUGCAAGCCAGAUGUGAAAGCCCGUGGCUCAACCCCGGGACUGCAUUUGGAACUGUGUGGCUGGAGUGUCGGAGAGGCAGGCGGAAUUCCUGGUGUAGGGGUGAAAUGCGUAGAUAUUAGGAGGAACACUAGUGGCGAAGGCGGCCUGCUGGACGAUGACUGACGUUGAGGCUCGAAAGCGUGGGGAGCAAACAGGAUUAGAUACCCGUGUAGUC
rnacentral:rRNA from 1 species